rnacentral:rRNA from 1 species
GAUGAACGCUGGCGGCGUGCCUAAUACAUGCAAGUCGAGCGAACGGACGAGAAGCUUGCUUUUCUGAUGUUAGCGGCGGACGGGUGAGUAACACGUGGAUAACCUACCUAUAAGACUGGGAUAACUUCGGGAAACCGGAGCUAAUACCGGAUAAUAUUUUGAACCGCAUGGUUCAAAAGUGAAAGACGGUCUUGCUGUCACUUAUAGAUGGAUCCGCGCUGCAUUAGCUAGUUGGUAAGGUAACGGCUUACCAAGGCAACGAUGCAUAGCCGACCUGAGAGGGUGAUCGGCCACCCUGGGACUUAGACACGGUCCAGACUCCUACGGGAGGCAGCAGUAGGGAAUCUUCCGCAAUGGGCGAAAGCCUGACGGAGCAACGCCGCGUGAGUGAUGAAGGUCUUCGGAUCGUAAAACUCUGUUAUUAGGGAAGAACAUAUGUGUAAGUAACUGUGCACAUCUUGACGGUACCUAAUCAGAAAGCCACGGCUAACUACGUG